GACUUCCUCUUCUCCUCUCCCUCGCCAUCCUCUCUCCCUCUCUCCGCCUCCCAAGAUGAGUGGCGGCUUUAGGGUUUCGAUCCCCUCCAACGUGACCUCCUCCCCAUCCUCUCCCGUGCCGUUGUCGGUUGCUGCAACCACAACUCCGUUGGAGAUUAAGUCAAUUUACAAUCCACAAAUGGGCAUAUGUUUGAUUCUUCAAGAAGGGUUUCGUUCCCCUCCAACGUGACCUCCUCUCCAUCCUCUCACAUGCCGUCGUCGGUUGAUCCAACCACAACUCUGUUGGAGGUCGAGGAUGAUGACGGUGGAUGUUGGCGCAAGGGAAGCGCUGUCGUGGAUAUGUAAGCGAAAUGCAAGAGUUUGGGUAAUUCGUUUCAUAUGUUCGAUGAAAUGCUCAAAACGAAUUGGUUCUCAUGGAGCGCAGUUAUUGGGCUUGUGCUCAAAAUGAGAAAUUCAUGGACGGGUUGGAUAUGUUCAUAGAGAAAAAAUCUACAGUAAUUUGGAUCAUUUCGUUGGGCACCAUUUUUUGCUUUACAAAAAUGGAAUUCCUUUUUCACAAUGCUCUUGCUGCUUUCAAAGUACAAAUUAAGAGCAUUCCGGUGCUUGGUCUUGGAAUCUGUACUUCUUCUAUUUCUGCAAUUACAGAGUUCUUGGAUCUGUAUUUUGUUUCUUUGGUUUAGAUUAGAGACUGAAUGUAGCUUAUUUGUAUCUGAUUUGACAGAGCUGUCUUUUGGGUUUCAGACUGUAUCUGAUCACAGACUGAAUUGAAUAUAGCUUAUUUGUAUCUGAUUUUCAGAGUUGUCUUUUAAUUCAUACAACAGUUAGAAAAAAUAAUUCUAAUAGGUACAAUAUACUUCAUAUAAAAAACUAAGUCCAGUAGAAAAUAUUCAUAUAGCUACAACAAAGUUCAAAAAAUUAAGUUUACCUUAGCAAAAAUUUUUUUCACCUAAAUAUUAUUGAAAUGUUAGCGUUAUUUUAUAAUCAUAUUAUAUUUUUUAAAAAAAUUUCAACUCUACUACUAAACUUUUUUUACGUUUUCAAAAAAUUUCAUCAUAACACAUUUUGUUACUCGAAAACCCGUGCAUUGCGUGGGGCCGGAUGUACAAAAAUAAUUUAGUCUCUCUUUCGAGGACGGGGGACCCACCGCCUUCUGCUUCUUCGAGACGGAGAAGAACUAGGAGAGGAGCAAGGAGGAGGAGGAGGAGGCGGCGGGGGGAGCGCCAAGGAAGAGGAGGAGAAAGAUGAUGAGGGAAGCGGCCGCACCGACAUGGAAGUCAGAAUCCCGUGCAAUGCAUGGGUCAUCAACUAGUUAAAAGAUCAUCCAAUGUGCUGUUAACAAGAAUGACGUAAUAACUUUACCUUGGUUCUUGUUUGAGAAGCUCUAGAACCAUUCCUUCCAAAUUUGAGUGAUGUUGCAUGGCAAAUUUGGGUGUUGUAAUCCAUUGGUUGUGAAUACCCAUAGCGUUCUGAAGUAAGAGCAGUUCAGCAACAAAUGAUCUACUGUUUCAUUGUAGUUGUGACAAAGCUGACACAACGGAUCAACUUGCAUUCCUUUUUUUCUUGAAAUGAGCCAGCCAUUCAAAAAGCUUAACUUUCUCAAGGAGUGGCAGUUUCCAAAUAAUCUUCCCGAUUGCAUGGUGCACCCUGCCGUUGAUGAGAAAAUAGUAGCAAUUUUUCACAGAGUAUUUUGUUGUUUUACUCCAUUUCCAUAUUCUUUGAUCCUCUUCAUUUGUUAAUCUAAUAUCUGAGAUGCAUCUAAGUAGCUUCCGAAGGUCUUCUGUGGCUCCAUAACUGAGGGGAGUUUUGAAGUUUAAUGACCAGUGCGCACAAGAGAAGAAGCUGGCAACACUGAUCGACAGUUGCUUUGCGAAUGGUAGAAGAUCGGGUAAAUCAUGGCUUAGUGGUGAAUCUGUAAGCCAAGAAUCAUACCAGAAAGAUGUUAAUUUACCGUUGCCCACUUUUGAAAGGUGAGAGAUGACAUCGGCAGCUGUGAUAUAACUUUCAUGAAUCAUUCUAUUCCUGAGGAAGAUUUGAUUGAGUCUCUGCUACAAGUGAGUUCAUGACUUGUCCAAGCCUCAUGGAUAGUACUUUGGAGAAAAUUUUCAUGAUACUAUUUUCCAAACUAAUUGGGCGGAAGUCUUUAACAUCUACACUUUCUAUUUUCUUUGGUAUCAAAACAAUUUUUGUAUAGUUCAGCCUUGACAGGUCUGUUUGUGAGCCAUAAACAGCAUCGAAGAAGGCAAGGAUGUCUGGUUUCAGGGUCUGCCAGUGUUUCUGAAAGAAAGAGAUUGGAAAACCAUCCAGGCUAGGAGCUUUGUCUCUUGGGAGGUUGAAAACAGCAUCCUUAGUUUCUUGUUCAGUGAAUGGGCUUUCUAGGGGGCUGAGAUACAUAUGGUUUUCUAGAUAAAGUUUCUCCUAUUUGCAUCCACCAAUGAGUCUUUGUUGCAUCCGAAGAUCACUGAAUAAAAGUCUAAGAAAGCUUUCUGAUCGAAUGUCAGCUUGAUUGUCAAAGACUUUGCCAUCUUUUUGUAUUUCUGUGAUAUGAUUUUUCCUUCUAUUGGAUGCACAUAUGUGAAAGAACUUAAUAUUUCUGUCACCUUCGGCCAGCCAUAACUGUCUGGAUCUUUGUCUCUAGCAGAUUUCUUCUUAUUGGAUUAAAGUAUCAAGCUGAAUUUCGAGGUUAAUUCUUUCACUUCGCUCUUCUGCCGCCAGGUUUCUGUCUUCUUCAAGGUGGUCAAUGGUUCCUAUUCUAGCUUCUGCAUCUUUUUUCUGUUGAAGUAAAUUUCCAGCAUUGUUUUUGCUCCGUGCUCUCAGCUGCGAGCGCAAGAAGCGUAAUCUCAGAACUAAGUUGGGUAUGGUUUCAGGGGAGGAUGGAGAAGAAAUCUACAAUUGAUCAAUUAGAGGCUCUAAAUCUUGACGAAGAUACCAGGUGUUUUCAAAGCGGAAGGGUUUGAGCCAUUUUGCACCUGCCCAGGAAAUGAAAGUGAAGGUGAGCAAUAAAGGAGUGUGAUCAGAUGUGGUUCUUACCAGGGAAGUGAGGGAUGUUAGGGUUUGUAGAUUGUGUCACUCGAGUGAAAUGAAGCUUCUAUCAAGUUUUUCUAAGCUGGCUUCAUCUUGGAAGUCUGUCUAGGAGAAUUUCCUAUUGAAUGCAUUGAUCUCAAUCAAUCUGAUCACGUUGGUUGAUG